GACGAACGCUGGCGGCGCGCUUAACACAUGCAAGUCGAGCGAGAACCAGGUCUUCGGACCUGGGGAAAGCGGCGAACGGGUGAGUAACACGUGAGUAAUCCACCCUCGGCACCGGGAUAGCCCGGGGAAACUCGGAUUAAUACCGGAUGGCCCAACAGCUCUUCGGGGCGGUUGGAAAAGGUAGCUUCGGCCUCCGGCCGCGGACGAGCUCGCGGCGGAUUAGCUUGUUGGUGGGGUAAUGGCCUACCAAGGCGACGAUCCGUAGCUGGUCUGAGAGGACGAUCAGCCACACUGGGACUGAGACACGGCCCAGACUCCUACGGGAGGCAGCAGUGGGGAAUCUUGCGCAAUGGGCGAAAGCCUGACGCAGCGACGCCGCGUGAGGGAAGAAGGCUUUCGGGUUGUAAACCUCUUUCAGGAGGGACGAAGCUACUCGGGUUAAUAGCCCAGAGGGUGACGGUACCUCCAGAAGAAGCCCCGGCUAACUACGUGCCAGCAGCCGCCGCAGUAA
rnacentral:rRNA from 1 species